rnacentral:rRNA from 1 species
AUUGAACGCUGGCGGCAUGCUUUACACAUGCAAGUCGGACGGCAGCACAGAGAAGCUUGCUUCUUGGGUGGCGAGUGGCGAACGGGUGAGUAACAUAUCGGAACGUACCGAGCAGUGGGGGAUAACUAAUCGAAAGAUUAGCUAAUACCGCAUAUCUUCUGAGGAAGAAAGCAGGGGACCAUUUGGCCUUGCGCUGUUUGAGCGGCCGAUAUCUGAUUAGCUAGUUGGUGGGGUAAAGGCCUACCAAGGCGACGAUCAGUAGCGGGUCUGAGAGGAUGAUCCGCCACACUGGGACUGAGACACGGCCCAGACUCCUACGGGAGGCAGCAGUGGGGAAUUUUGGACAAUGGGCGCAAGCCUGAUCCAGCCAUGCCGCGUGUCUGAAGAAGGCCUUCGGGUUGUAAAGGACUUUUGUCAGGGAAGAAAAGGGCGGGGUUAAUACCCCUGUCUGAUGACGUACCUGAAGAUAGCCCCGCA